GUCCCUCCUGCUCAGGGCAGCAUGGUGAUGCACAUGCGGCCCCCCACCACAGGCCCCUUCCCCAACCCUAUUCAGAGACCUGUUAUGCAGGUCAAUAAGCCCGUCAUCAUCCGUUCCCCCCCUUACCCCAAUCCUGGCCGUGACCCUCCCCACUCCACCCCUCCUUCAGCUUCCGAGCCCCCAGUUAAAGGGCAAGAGGAUGGCAUGAAGGUGAGCCACCCACUGUAAAUAUAGAAUAAAACAAUAAGAGAUGUACGCAAGGCGGUGGGAGAGGGCAAAACACCGUCCGGGGGCAUGACCAGCAAACUCCAGGAGCCCCUACCUUCCACAGGCCAAGCCAAACCAGCACGCACUGGAGCCAUCAAACCCCAGGCUGUCAAAGUAGAAGAGGGCAAGGCGUAAUAAUGGACCUUAAAAUCCUCAUCACCACCAAGCCUGCCAACACAAAGCUCAUUGACCACUGUCAGCCUUUUUAAAACCCACCUUACCCCCAAGGCUCCAAGGCCCGGGGCCUGCAGGCAGACAACAUAAUGAAAUGCCCCCUCUUGAACUUUCAGAACUGGACACUGUUAUUUCACAUCACGUAUAGAGAUAUAUAAAUAUAUAUAAAUAUAUGCAUAAACACAGUCUUUUAAACAGAUCUCUUCAAGGUCCUCUUUAAUUUAUUAUUAGUCACUUUUAAGGGGAUAUUGGUAAGGAGAAAAGACAUUUUGUUUUUGUGUGUGCGUUUUCUCUGAAGUGGGGGAAGAGGAAAAUGGCCAGCUCACACGGUUCAUUUUCCAUACUGUUUUGCCAAACUGUAAUUACUCCCUGUUUAUGGACUGCAUCCCUUAAAGACCCGACAGAAACUUCAUACAACUGAGAAACAAAGUCUGUUAACUUUUUUUUUUUAUUAAGCAAAUUUGAAAUGCAGUGUGGGGCACUUUUUGUUUUUCUUUGGUAUUUUUUCUGGUAAAUAAAGUCACGACCCAGACAUCCAUACUAAUGCUAAAAGACUUGUUUCAUUAACCCAGGAAAAAAAUAAAACACAAUUGUUGGGCAUCAUGCAUGUCAAACAUAGCAGAAGUCAAGUGGAUCACCUCAGAAAUUCAUCUUUUUUGGGCUACUUAACCCAACACAUGAACUGCGUAAAAACUGCUUAGAUUCUUAGAAACCUUUUUUUUUCUCUUUAAACCGUUCUUUGCUUUUAGAUUCUGUGGCUCACUCUGUAUGUAAAUUGAAAGGAGAAAAAAAAGAGAUGGAGGUUUUACCAAAAUUAUGUUGCUUCCAUGGAAAGUUCACUGGCAUCGGCGGCGUGUGCAUGUGAUGUGUUGAAUGUGUGUAAACUUGCAGGACAUCUACGUAGAAGCUAGCAACAUUUCACAAAGACUGUGUGCGUGCGGGGGUGUGUGUGUGGAUUUGGAUUGACCACGCUGAAAACAUUUGUGGGUUCAUUGUGAAGUUUUGGAGGGCUGAGAGGUGGGCAUUCACAGUUGCUGUAAAAGGACCCUCAGCUGAUUGAAAUGUUUGCUUUCUUAUCGCUUUGCUUUGGGCUGUAAUGAAAUCAAACUGUGUUAAUGAACAUGUGAUGUAAGCGAUUUUUCUUUUUUCCUUCUUUAACAUCCAUUAGUGUUUGUUUUCUUUUUCUUUAGGGCUCCUGAAAGACUUUUAUAUUGUUCAGAUCCCAUUUCAGAAUCACCGAGGGGAGUUAUUGAAAAAAAAAAAAAAAUCUCAUCACUAUUUGAUAAUUCAAAAUCUGGUUUCUGAGGUGGCACUAGCAAUAAAUGCAGCCUAACUAUAAUCACAAUCAGGGUCCAAUUAAUUUGUUUUCCUCCGUUAGAAGCUAAUGAUCACAUAACGAGGGGUGUUUGCUUGUUAAACUGAAAUCCACCUUUUUUUUUUUUUCUUUCUUUUUUUGUGCGAGCACAGCAGUUCCAGCAGACUACGAAGGACUUUAAAACAAACAAACAAAAAAACAAAAAAAAUGUUCUGUUUGAAAAUGUGAAGCUGAUGGAAUCAUUUAUUUUUGUUCAUCUUCUGUUUUUAUAACGGGCGCUCAAUUCGAAACUCACGACGCCCCUGCCAUAACUGUUACUGCUUACUAUAAUGCUCCAUGACACUACAAAUGUUUAUCUUUACAACAGUGUUUCACUGCUAUAUGUGUAUACGCAUACUUAACUGUACAGUUGAGCCUUGUGAGCAAAGGGAGGCUUAAACUUGCAUUUCAUUUUAGAUAUUGUGGCACUAUAAAGGAUUCGAUGUUUUAAAAAAAAAAAAAAAAAAAAAAAAGGUCACUGUGUUCUCAGAACGGACUGCUUUCACCUGUUAGGUUUAUCGGGCUUGGAGUGUGGGGUUUUUUUGUUGUUGGUUUUUUUGGCCUCUUACCCCUUUCUUGAAAGGAUCUUGGCGCUUCUCAUCAUUGUACCUGCACCGCAAUGUUGCCCAUUUUGAGGUUGUUUGUUUUUUUUUCGGUUUUUUUUUUUACUUUUAAGAUGCAUAUUUCAGUUUUUGUCAGAGGACCAGUGCUUUCUACAGCUGAUCCAGCAUUCUAUUUAUCCUCUCUGACCUUUAUCCUUUCAGGUAUUUGGUCAUUACUCUCCCUUGUUAAAGAAAAAGAGCUUAUUGAGAGAAAAUAAAUAAAGCAGUUGUGAUUUCUUAAA